AUGCCGCCAGGACGAGGCCCGCGUGGCCCCACAGAGCAGCACCACCCGCCGGAGACCGGCGGCCGCGACGAGGGUGCUCCGUCCCGUCCCACGCUGCCGUUCCCCGCCUUCGCUUCUCAGGGGAGGAGGAAGACGAGGAGGCCGAGGCAGCCGCCGCCGGCGAGCCUCCCCUUCGCCGAGAUCCUGUCGCGGGUGCCCUACCGCUCGCUCUGCCGCUUCCGGUGCGUGUCCAAGGCGUGGCGACUCCUCUGCUCCCAGCCGGCCAUCGAAAGGAGGGUGCCGCAGACCCUCUCCGGAUUCUUCCACACCCACCACUCGGACGGCGGCCUCCGUUUCAGCAAUCUGUCCGGGGGAGGCGCCCCUCUGGUCGACGCUUCGCUCCCUUUCCUCCGCAGGAGGUACGCGAGCGUCAAGCUCGAGCAAUGCAGCAGCAGCCUUCUCCUCUGCAGAUGCCGGGAAUCGGAGGACGACGAGGAAUGCGAUUACGUCGUGUGCAAUCCUAUGACCGGGCAGUGGACCGUGCUGCCUCCUAUAGUAUGGCAGGACGAAGAGGAUGGUGAACCUGCGUAUUUCAGAGUGGUGCAGCCCUUCCUGGGUCUCGACCCGGCCGUUCCGUCCCGCUUUGUGGUGUUUUCGCCCCUGGUUGAGGUGUGCAACGAUGUGGCGAUAUACUCGUCGGAAACUGGGCGAUGGAGUCGGAACAAUGAGUGGGGAGAUAACAGCGAGUAUCCUGCUUUUUCUGCAGAAUGUGGCUUCCUGAAUGGUAUGAUGCAUUUUCUGCAUUUGGUGACCGAGGAACCUAUAAUAGCCGUAGUGGACCUAGAUGGGGAUGUUUGUGGGGAAAUUGCUUUGCCGGAAGGAAUGGAAGAAGCCAGUUCUGGUUAUAGUUCAAUUGGGUACUCUCAGGGGAAAUUGCAUGCCUGGUAUAUGCUUCCUCAUUAUUAUGAACUCUUUGUGUGGGUACUUGAGGAUUAUGCUAGUGAAAAGUGGACCCUAAAACAUACCGUUGAUGUUCCAGAACUGUUUGGAAGGGAAUCCACCGAAGAGGAUUGUGACGAAGAGGACAAGACCUAUAAGUACGAGAUGUUUGCAAUUCAUCCAGAGCAUAAUGUGAUUUUCCUUACUAACUGGAAGGAGGUGAAUCUCUCGUAUGAUAUGGAUAGCAAGGAAGUGCAUCUUAUGUGCACUUCUGGAGAUUUCCUGGGUGGCCUACCUUAUAUUCCCUCUUUUGCGGAUUUGGUUGUCUGA
rnacentral:rRNA from 1 species